rnacentral:rRNA from 1 species
AUUGAACGCUGGCGGCAGGCCUAACACAUGCAAGUCGAGCGGUAACAGGGGUAGCUUGCUACCCGCUGACGAGCGGCGGACGGGUGAGUAAUGCAUGGGUAUCUGCCCGGUAGUGGGGGAUAACUCGGGGAAACCCGAGCUAAUACCGCAUACGUCCUACGGGAGAAAGCAGGGGAUCUUCGGACCUUGCGCUAUCGGAUGAGCCCAUGUCGGAUUAGCUUGUUGGUGAGGUAACGGCUCACCAAGGCGACGAUCCGUAGCUGGUCUGAGAGGAUGAUCAGCCACACCGGGACUGAGACACGGCCCGGACUCCUACGGGAGGCAGCAGUGGGGAAUAUUGGACAAUGGGGGAAACCCUGAUCCAGCCAUGCCGCGUGUGUGAAGAAGGCCUUCGGGUUGUAAAGCACUUUCAGUGGGGAAGAAGGCAUGAUGAUUAAUACUCGUCAUGAAGGACAUCACCCACAGAAGAAGCACCGGCUAACUCCGUG